rnacentral:rRNA from 1 species
UAGGGAAUCUUCGGCAAUGGGGGGAACCCUGACCGAGCAACGCCGCGUGAGUGAAGAAGGUUUUCGGAUCGUAAAGCUCUGUUGUUAAGGAAGAACGAGUGUGAGAAUGGAAAGUUCAUACUGUGACGGUACUUAACCAGAAAGGGACGGCUAACUACGUGCCAGCAGCCGCGGUAAUACGUAGGUCCCGAGCGUUGUCCGGAUUUAUUGGGCGUAAAGCGAGCGCAGGCGGUUAGAUAAGUCUGAAGUUAAAGGCAGUGGCUCAACCAUUGUAGGCUUUGGAAACUGUUUAACUUGAGUGCAGAAGGGGAGAGUGGAAUUCCAUGUGUAGCGGUGAAAUGCGUAGAUAUAUGGAGGAACACCGGUGGCGAAAGCGGCUCUCUGGUCUGUAACUGACGCUGAGGCUCGAAAGCGUGGGGAGCGAACAGGAUUAGAUACCCUGGUAGUCCACGCCGUAAACGAUGAGUGCUAAGUGUUGGUCUCAUAAGAGAUCAGUGCUGCAGCUAACGCAUUAAGCACUCCGCCUGGGGAGUACGGCCGCAAGGUUG